rnacentral:rRNA from 1 species
AUUGAACGCUGGCGGCGUGCCUUACACAUGCAAGUCGAACGGUAACGCGGGGCAACCUGGCGACGAGUGGCGAACGGGUGGGUAAUGCAUCGGAACGUGCCUGGUAGUGGGGGAUAACUGUUCGAAAGAGCAGCUAAUACCGCAUACGACCUGAGGGUGAAAGGGGGGAGUCGCAAGACCUCUCGCUAUCAGAGCGACCGAUGUCGGAUUAGCUAGUUGGUGGGGUAAAGGCCCACCAAGGCAACGAUCCGUAGCUGGUCUGAGAGGACGACCAGCCACACUGGGACUGAGACACGGCCCAGACUCCUACGGGAGGCAGCAGUGGGGAAUUUUGGACAAUGGGCGCAAGCCUGAUCCAGCCAUGCCGCGUGCGGGAAGAAGGCCUCGGUUGUAAACGCUUUGUCAGGAGAAUACUUCUGGGUUAAGUACCUCGGGAGGAGUGACGGUACCUGAAGAAUAAGCCCGGCAAACUCGUGCCAGCAGCCGCGGUAAAAGUAGUGUGUA